rnacentral:rRNA from 1 species
UACGUAGGGCGCAAGCGUUGUCCGGAAUUAUUGGGCGUAAAGAGCUCGUAGGCGGCUUGUUGCGUCGGUUGUGAAAGCCCGGGGCUUAACCCCGGGUCUGCAGUCGAUACGGGCAGGCUAGAGUGUGGUAGGGGAGAUCGGAAUUCCUGGUGUAGCGGUGAAAUGCGCAGAUAUCGGGAAGAACACCCGUGGCGAAGGCGGUUCUCUGGGACGGUACUGACGCUGAGACGCGAAAGCGUGGGGAGCGAACAGG